UUGCACACCAUUGUAUUUAUUGUAGAAUUUAUAUACAAAUUAAUUAGAAUCAGAAUCGAUUUUGAGAUUGAAGUGACUAUUUCCAGGACGAACUGUAGUACAAUUACGUAUUACGUAUUACGUACAAUUACGAGUCGAUAAGCAUCAGGCGAAUAGUUGUUAUUACGAUUUGUUUAAUGUACUUCGGAGUUGAAAUGAAGUUAAGCUAGACUAUACACAGGUUUGUUAUUAUGUCUGCACCGCUAUGCCUAUUGUCCUCGGGACAUUGUACUACGUAGAGUUGCACUUGUAACAAGUUCAUUCACGCUAGAUUUAAAUCUAAUAACGGGGAGAUACUACGCUAUAUUCUAUGUAUAUAAUAUGUUAUUCCUUGCUAACCAACGAAUUGCGAACGUCUGCGAAAUAUUAUUCCGAACUUUGUCUAGAGAGGCGAUAAUAAGAAAAUAAAAUUUAAAGUUUAUAACUUUAA